GGCCCGGGGCCCCGUGGGGAUCGGCCCGGCCCGGGGCCCCGUGGGGAUCGGCCCGGCCCGGGGCCCCGUGGGGAUCGGCCCAGCGGGGCCCUGUGGGGAUUAGCCCGGGCGGGGCCCGUGGGGAUCGGCCCGGCCCGGAGCCGGGACGUCUCCGGAGAGGGAGGAUCCUUCACCUCCCUUCCCCGAGCAGCCCGCUCCAGGCAAAGAAGCUGUUCUUGAAGUGCGUGCUUGAGAAACGAAAUUCUUCAAGCCUGAUUUAGACUCGAAGGCGCCUGGGAAACAGAAACUUUUUGACAAGUACCAGACGAAUUUCUUGUUUUAAAUAAAAUAUAUGCAUAAUCAUGAAGUGUUUUGUAUAUGCAACAGGCUAUUGCUUUUAAGGUUAUUGCUUUGUUCACAAGGCAUGCUUGUCGUGGCUUAAGUGCCCAAGAGCAUCUGGACGUCCGUAAUUCUUUGCUUUUUAUUGUCUUGUAAUUGUCCUAACUCUAAAUUUUUAUUACUCUAAUUGUAUUACUAUUUUUACAACCAUCUUAUUAUUACUAAACUUUAAA